rnacentral:tRNA from 1 species
GCCCGGUUAGCUCAGUCGGUAGAGCAUGAGACUCUUAAUCUCAGGGUAGUGGAUUUGAGCCCCACAUUGGGCU